rnacentral:rRNA from 1 species
GACGAACGCUGGCGGCGUGCUUAACACAUGCAAGUCGAACGGUAAGGCCCUUCGGGGUACACGAAUGGCGAACGGGUGAGUAACACGUGGGUGAUCUGCCCUGCACUUCGGGAUAAGCCUGGGAAACUGGGUCUAAUACCGGAUAGGACCACUGCCUGCAUGGGUGGUGGUGGAAAGCUUUUGCGGUGUGGGAUGGGCCCGCGGCCUAUCAGCUUGUGGGUGGGGUGAUGGCCGACCAAGGCGACGACGGGUAGCCGGCCUGAGAGGGUGACCGGCCACACUGGGACGGCGGUAGGGGCGGGGGGGCUACGGGGGGCAGCAGUGGGACAGAUUGCGCGAUGGGCGGGAGCCGGAUGCAGCGACGCCGGGUGAGGGAUGACUGCCUUCGGGUUGUAGACCUCUUUCAGCACCGACGAAGCGCAAGUGACGGUAGGUGCAGAAGAAGGACCGGCCAACUACGUGCCAGCCGCCGCCGUAA